GUCGAAAUAAAGAGAGAAUCUUGCAAAAACAGAAGGCGUGUUUCUUCUGAUGAUAAAGCAAACCUUGUUCCUGAGAAUAGUCUGCAGAUGUUGUCAUGAAAGGAUGGCCUGAGAUGUUGUGAUCGCUGGUGCAUCAAGAACAGGGAGGGAAGGCCUUGUUUCCUCUGCCGCCCCAUUGCCCCAUUGCCCAUGGCCACCCACGUGCCUCUGGGUCCAAAGGGGGAAAAGGAGGGGCAUAAAAGGCAGGCAUGUGCCUCAGCCUCCCUCCAGUUUGACACCAAGGCUCCUUCAUUGGACUUUGGGCUGAGAUGAAGCCAACGGGGACCCAGGGACUUCUUUGGCUCCUUUGCAUCCAUCUCUCCCGUGCCUCCUUAGAGCAAGAGAAGGAUCCGAAGUAUUGGAACAGCAAAGCCAAGCAGACGCUGGAAUCCGCGCUCAAGUUGACACCAAUGAACCACCGGGCAAAGAACAUCAUUUUCUUCCUGGGCGACGGUGAGUUCAGACAUGGAUAUGUAUGAAGCAAGGCUACU
rnacentral:lncRNA from 11 species